rnacentral:rRNA from 1 species
CCUACGGGAGGCAGCAGUGAGGAAUAUUGGACAAUGGACGAGAGUCUGAACCAGCCAAGUAGCGUGAAGGAUGACUGCCCUAUGGGUUGUAAACUUCUUUUAUAUGGGAAUAAAAUGUUCCACGUGUGGGAUUUUGUAUGUACCAUAUGAAUAAGGAUCGGCUAACGCCGUGCCAGCAGCCGCGGUAAUACGGAGGAUCCGAGCGUUAUCCGGAUUUAUUGGGUUUAAAGGGAGCGUAGGUGGAUUGUUAAGUCAGUUGUGAAAGUUUGCGGCUCAACCGUAAAAUUGCAGUUGAAACUGGCAGUCUUGAGUACAGUAGAGGUGGGCGGAAUUCGUGGUGUAGCGGUGAAAUGCUUAGAUAUCACGAAGAACUCCGAUUGCGAAGGCAGUUCACUGGACUGCAACUGACACUGAGGCUCGAAAGUGUGGGUAUCAAACAGGAUUAGAUACCCCUGUAGUC